rfam:Winogradskyella sp. PG-2 DNA, complete genome.
UGACGUGUAGCUUAACUGGCUAAAGCACUCGACUUUUAAUCGAGGUUAUGUGAGUUCGACUCUCACUACGUCAA